rnacentral:rRNA from 1 species
GAUGAACGCUGGCGGCGUGCCUAAUACAUGCAAGUCGAGCGAACAGACGAGGAGCUUGCUCCUUUUACGUUAGCGGCGGACGGGUGAGUAACACGUGUAUAACCUACCUAUAGGACUGGGAUAACUUCGGGAAACCGGAUCUAAUACCGGAUAACAUGGUGAACCGCAUGGUUCAACAGUGAAAGACGGUCUUGCUGUCACUUAUAGAUGUAUCCGCGCCGCAUUAGCUAGUUGGUAAGGUAACGGCUUACCAAGGCAACGAUGCGUAGCCGACCUGAGAGGGUGAUCGGCCACACUGGAACUGAGACACGGUCCAGACUCCUACGGGAGGCAGCAGUAGGGAAUCUUCCGCAAUGGGCGAAAGCCUGACGGAGCAACGCCGCGUGAGUGAAGAAGGUCUUCGGAUCGUAAAACUCUGUUAUUAGGGAAGAACAAAUGUGUAAGUAACUAUGCACGUCUUGACGGUACCUAAUCAGAAAGCCCCGGCUAACUACGUG